rnacentral:sRNA from 1 species
GCCGGGCAUGGUGGCGCGUGCCUGUAAUCCCAGCUACUCAGGAGGCUGAGGCAGAAGAAUCGCUUGAACCCGGGAGGUGGAGGUUGCAGUGAGCCGAGAUCUUGCCACUGCACUACAGCCUGGGUGACAGAGCGAGACUCUGUCUGGG